CUACAAAGGAAUUGACGGGGGCCCGCACAAGCGGUGGAGCAUGUGGUUAAUUCGAAGCAACGCGAAGAACCUUACCAGGUCUUGACAUCCCGAUGCUAUUUCUAGAGAUAGAAAGUUACUUCGGUACAUCGGUGACAGGUGGUGCAUGGUUGUCGUCAGCUCGUGUCGUGAGAUGUUGGGUUAAGUCCCGCAACGAGCGCAACCCCUAUUGUUAGUUGCCAUCAUUCAGUUGGGCACUCUAGCGAGACUGCCGGUAAUAAACCGGAGGAAGGUGGGGAUGACGUCAAAUCAUCAUGCCCCUUAUGACCUGGGCUACACACGUGCUACAAUGGUUGGUACAACGAGUUGCGAGUCGGUGACGGCGAGCUAAUCUCUUAAAGCCAAUCUCAGUUCGGAUUGUAGGCUGCAACUCGCCUACGUGAAGUCGGAAUCGCUAGUAAUCGCGGAUCAGCACGCCGCGGUGAAUACGUUCCCGGGCCUU
rnacentral:rRNA from 1 species